AUGUACCCACACACCCCCACCGGCGACUACCGACUGUUGAUGUUCCGGGACUCGGUAUCGAUGCAUCAUCAACUGGUACCUGACGCCGCUCAAGACGGCUCCUACAUCUUCACGUUAGGCUCCGGCCAGCCACCGAGGCACAUAGGGUUCCUCGAAGCGGAGGUGCUGACAUUCACCUUUGGGUCUCUCCUGUUUCGUGGUAGCCUGCAUUGGCGCCCACCAGGCAACAUGAUAAUGGUGUUCGACACCACGACUGAGUUGUUCUGGCAGAUGCGCGCUCCGGCUGUUCCUCCUGGCCAUGCUAAGUUGUUUCAGAUGGAUGAAAUGCUUGGCAUGUCUGGCUUUAAUGAUGCAGCGACAACCAUUGAUAUCUGGGUGGCGCAGGACUACGAGAGCGAGGUCUGGGCCUGCAAAUACCGGGUAGACUUCUCAGUUGCAGAGAUCACUCUGCGGUUUGGAAAGUUUGACGAAAGUUCUUGGGUGGUGGUCAUGCCUUCGGAUGGUGAUGUGUUCCUACUGGUCAAUUUUGGUGAGUGGCUACUUCAGCUUGACAUUGGUGGCAAGUUGGUCGCUACUUUCCAUCGCAGAGGCCUCGGUCCUGCAAAUCUUCGUCUCAAGCAAACUCUUGUUCAACAUACCUUCUUUCCAAUACUAGAGGGUUAUGUUACCAACUCUCCGCCUUUCAUCUGA
rnacentral:rRNA from 1 species